rnacentral:rRNA from 1 species
GACGAACGCUGGCGGCGUGCUUAACACAUGCAAGUCGAACGAAGUGGCGAACGGGUGAGUAACGCGUAAUCAACCUGCCCUUCAGAGGGGGACAACAGUUGGAAACGACUGCUAAUACCGCAUACUGAAGGAGGGGAUUGCGUCUGAUUAGCUAGUUGGGGGGGUAACGGCCCACCAAGGCGAUGAUCAGUAGGCUGUCUUAGAGGAUGGACGGCCACAUUGGGACUGGGACACGGCCCAGACUCCUACGGGAGGCAGCAAGGGGGGAUCUUCCGCAAUGGGCGAAAGUCUGACGGAGCAACGCCGCGUGGGUGAUGACGGCCUUCGGGUUUUAAAGCUCUGUUAAGCGGGACGCGGUACCGGAAUAGAAAGCCACGGCUAACUACGUGCCAGCCGCCGCGGUAAUAC